rfam:Desulfuribacillus alkaliarsenatis strain AHT28 DSM-24608_Contig_21_85X, whole genome shotgun sequence.
AGCCGAAGAAGGACGGAGCGAACGCCGAAACGCCACGGGGAGCUGUAAGCAAGCAUUGAGCCGUGGAUAUCCGAAUGGGGGAACCCAGUAUCCGUAAUGGGAUACUACCCAUACCUGAACACAUAGGGUAUGAGGAGGCAGACCCAGGGAACUGAAACAUCUAAGUACCUGGAGGAAAAGAAAACAAAAGUGAUUCCCUAAGUAGCGGCGAGCGAACGGGGAGAAGCCUAAACCUAUACUAUGUAAGCCUACAAGCGUUGUAAUAUAGGUGUUGCGGGGCAUAGAAGGGGUGUUUGUAGCCACCCACAAAGACAACAAACGGUAUUCGAACCAAUUGGGAAAUUGGACCGAAGAAGGUGAAAGUCCUGUAGAAGAAACCGUUUCGCGCUUUGUUUAUGACCCCAAGUACGGCGGGACACGUGAAAUCCCGUCGGAAUCCAGGAGGACCAUCUCCUAAGGCUAAAUACUACCUAGCGACCGAUAGUGAACCAGUACCGUGAGGGAAAGGUGAAAAGCACCCCGGGAGGGGAGUGAAAUAGAACCUGAAACCAUAUGCUUACAAGCAGUCGGAGCACGUUAAAAGUGUGACGGCGUGCCUUUUGUAGAAUGAACCGGCGAGUUAUGGUAGCGAGCAAGGUUAAAGUGAGAAACUGGAGCCGAAGCGAAAGCAAGUCUGAAUAGGGCAUGUAGUUCGUUGCCAUAGACCCGAAACCGUGUGAUCUACCCAUGGCCAGGAUGAAGUUGCAGUAAAAUGCAAUGGAGGUCCGAACCCACUAAUGUUGAAAAAUUAGGGGAUGAGCUGUGGGUAGGGGUGAAAUGCCAAUCGAACACGGAGAUAGCUGGUUCUCCCCGAAAUAGCUUUAGGGCUAGCCUUAUUGAUCAGUAUUGGAGGUAGAGCACUGAUUGGACUAGGGCCGUGCGAACGGUACCGAAUUCAGUCAAACUCCGAAUGCCAUUAACUGUAACAAUAGGAGUCAGACUGCGAGUGAUAAGAUCCGUAGUCAAGAGGGAAACAGCCCAGACCAUCAGCUAAGGUCCCAAAGUGUGUGUUAAGUGGGAAAGGAUGUAGUGUUGCCCAGACAACCAGGAUGUUGGCUUAGAAGCAGCCACCAUUUAAAGAGUGCGUAAUAGCUCACUGGUCGAGUGACACUGCGCCGAAAAUGUAACGGGGCUCAAACACACCACCGAAGCUAUGGAUGAUACAAUUAUGUAUUGUGGUAGGGGAGCGUUCUAAGUGCGGCGAAGCGAUACCGAAAGGAGUCGUGGAGCGCUUAGAAGUGAGAAUGCCGGUAUGAGUAACGAAAAGAUAUGUGAGAAUCAUAUCCGCCGAAAGCCCAAGGGUUCCUGAGGAAGGCUCGUCCUCUCAGGGUUAGUCGGGACCUAAGCCGAGGCCGAAAGGCGUAGGCGAUGGACAACUGGUUGAGAUUCCAGUACCACCUAUAAGCCGCUUGAGCAAAGGGGUGACGCAGGAGGAUAGGGAGAGCAGACUGAUGGAAUAGUCUGUCUAAGCGAGGUAUCGGUCAGGUAGGCAAAUCCGCCUGGCAUAACGAGAAUGCGUGAAUGCGAGCGAAAAUUAAAGUAGCGAAGUCCCUGAUUCCACACUGCCGAGAAAAGCCUCUAGCAAGGAAAAUGGGUGCCCGUACCAAAACCGACACAGGUAGGCAGGGAGAGAAUCCCAAGGCGCGCGAGAGAACUCUCGUUAAGGAACUCGGCAAAAUGACCCCGUAACUUCGGGAGAAGGGGUGCUCUUUAGGGUUAAUAGCCCAGGAGAGCCGCAGUGAAAAGAUCCAAGCGACUGUUUAGCAAAAACACAGGUCUCUGCGAAGCCGCAAGGCGAAGUAUAGGGGCUGACGCCUGCCCGGUGCUGGAAGGUUAAGGGAAGAGGUUAGCUGUAAGGCGAAGCUUUGAACCGAAGCCCCAGUAAACGGCGGCCGUAACUAUAACGGUCCUAAGGUAGCGAAAUUCCUUGUCGGGUAAGUUCCGACCCGCACGAAAGGCGUAACGACUUGGAUACUGUCUCGACGAGAGACUCGGUGAAAUUGUAGUACCAGUGAAGAUGCUGGUUACCCGCGACAAGACGGAAAGACCCCAUGGAGCUUUACUAUAGCUUGAUAUUGGAUUUUGGUACCCUAUGUACAGGAUAGGUGGGAGACGUAGAAGCUAGGGCGCAAGCCUUGGUGGAGUCGCUGGUGGGAUACCACCCUUAGUGUACCGGAGUUCUAACCUACAUCCGUGACCCGGAUGAGGGACAGUGUCAGGUGGGUAGUUUGACUGGGGCGGUCGCCUCCUAAAGAGUAACGGAGGCGCCCAAAGGUUCCCUCAGAAUGGUUGGAAAUCAUUCGAAGAGUGUAAAGGCAGAAGGGAGCUUGACUGCGAGACCUACAAGUCGAGCAGGUACGAAAGUAGGGCUUAGUGAUCCGGUGGUACCGCAUGGAAGGGCCAUCGCUCAACGGAUAAAAGCUACCCUGGGGAUAACAGGCUUAUCUCCCCCAAGAGUCCACAUCGACGGGGAGGUUUGGCACCUCGAUGUCGGCUCAUCGCAUCCUGGGGCUGAAGUAGGUCCCAAGGGUUGGGCUGUUCGCCCAUUAAAGCGGUACGCGAGCUGGGUUCAGAACGUCGUGAGACAGUUCGGUCCCUAUCUGUCGUGGGCGUAGGAAAUUUGAGAGGAGCUGUCCUUAGUACGAGAGGACCGGGAUGGACAAACCGCUGGUGUACCAGUUGUUUCGCCAGAAGCAUAGCUGGGUAGCCAAGUUUGGAAGGGAUAAGCGCUGAAAGCAUCUAAGCGCAAAGCCCCCCUCGAGAUAAGAUUUCCCAUAGCAUAAGCUAGUAAGACCCCUUGAAGACUACAAGGUAGAUAGGUCUGGAGUGUAAGCAUAGUGAUAUGUUUAGCGGACAGAUACUAAUCGGUCGAGGGCUUAACCAC